rnacentral:lncRNA from 1 species
GGGCACUACUGGUGCUCUGUUUCGGUCCCUAUUCCUCACCUAUUGGUUCAAAAAAGGAACAGAAAAGCAGCUCCAAAAUGAGGGCUAAAAAGGUACAAUGGCUGCAAUAUAUUGACGUACACCUAGAACAUGUAUUUACACUGUUUAACCUCCUUACAGUGAUUUUACCCUUUUACAGAGCAGUUAUUUUCACCAAAGCGCUUAGGGUACGUACCUAAGUCGAGGGAACUACAACAGGAGGUGAGAUUCUGUUAGGGGUUUUUCCUGUAGAAAGCGACAGCUCUAACCACUACUACGCCAACUGCUGUUAUAAGUAAAGACCUAAUACAAAUUACAAGUGCACUUCUAAUAUUCUGUUCCUCUGGACCUUCAGGUUUUAGUAAAAUACCUUAAAUCAGCCGAAGUACAAAAAAAGAGACAUGUAAAAACGUCAAAAAUAGCAGUAACUUAGGGAAAGGAAAUGAUCUGAAGGCGGAACCGGGAAGGGAGGGUCUGUGAAGAAGUGUAAAAACCAAGUCCAUAUUGGGAAUGCAUGGGCGGGGUGCUGACGGAGGUUUCCCUCCUGCUCGCUCUCUCUGCCCGCAGCGUAGGAGCGCAGAUCGUCCUCAUCGCCAUCAUCAUCCUCCUCCUCAUCACCACCACCACCUCCCAGCAGCACCGCGAUCGGGACCACGCCCGGCAUCGCGCUCGGAGCGCCGCAAGUCCUCCUGCCCCUCCAGGUCUGCGACCGUAGACACCUCUCCUAGCAACCCGUCAUCAAAGUAUCUGCCUUCUACCUAUAGCCUGACUGCACCUGACGUGCCCUUCGAGCGCAGUCCCCGUACCCAAGACACUUAGCCAAGCACUUGUGCUUACCUUGUUUUACACUCCUGGUCACCCC